AUGGCUGAUGCGUCGGGAUGCAGCCAGUGCGUUCAGGCUUACCAACGCUACGACCGACGAGCUCAGGAGAAAUACCAAGAGUUUGAGCUUUUGGUUCAGAAAUAUGAAACGGAUGUAUAUUCGGUGCGGACGUGUAUGGAAGAGUGCACGAUGCACCAAAUCGACAUCGAAGAACUAGAAGUGACAGUGUUGUUGCCUCAUGUCGCCUGUGUGUGGUCCAAAAACUUGCACUUAAACACACUGCAGAGACAACAGCCAUUGGCCAACUAUAGUAUAAACGUUCUCCACCUUUCUGAGAGGAAAUAACUCUCCUACCAGUAGGUGGUAGUAGUCUGUAUUUGUCAUUCAAAAAGGGAAACAAAAAAGGCUAGGACUACAGAUAUACAAACUGCAAACAAUAAAAACUAUGAAAAAACUAUUUGUCAUUUGCUUGCUUUCUUCACUUGCUUUUUUCUCCUGUGCAGUAGAUGCAAAUCCAAUCAGAGUGUUCUCUCUCACUGAAAGCCUCCGCCACCAAAACUAGUGCCAUACACUAGGCCAACAUGCUUUAAUGACAGCCCAACAUUGGUCUACAGCCGACUGUUGGCUUGGUGUGUCACGGUUUUAAAGUUAAUUCAGUUAAAAGGAGUGGAUGUGUAUAUUUGCUAUUGUUUAUGGCCUUAGUGAUUCAUCCAAUUUAUGGAUUGAGUGUUAUAAUGGGGGCAGCUGUGGCCUAAUGGUUAGAGACUUGGACUUGUAACCAGAAGGUUGCAGGUUCGAGUCUCGGUGCUGGCAGGAGUUGUAGGUGGGAAGGAGUGAAUGAAUACCGCUCUCUUCCACCCUCAAUACCCAUGGCUGAAGUGCCCUUGAGCAAGGCACUGAACCCCCAGUUGCUCCCCGGGCGCUGGAUAUAGCUGCCCACUGCUCCGGGUGUGUGUUCACGGUGUGUUCACUUCUCACUGCUGUGUGUGUGCACUUGGAUGGGUUAAAUGCAGAGCACCAAUUUCGAGUAUGGGUUACAAUACUUGACAAAUGUCACGACUUUCACUUUCAUAAUCUGGUAAAUGUCAGUUUUAGGUUUACAGUCAGGGUUAGAUGCUUCUACACCUUUCUUAUUCACCUAUCAUUUCCCUCUGAUUUUAGGAAAAAUUAUGGGUAGGGUUAGGUUUAGGGGUAGGGAUUGUGUUAGGUCUGUAUUUUUGGACAGUAAUGUUGAUCCAGGAUCAACAAAAGAUUUUGAUCCAGGAACAUGUCUUAAGUGGCAAAAUCACAGUCACCGUUAUAAUCUAGUCUUCAAGUUGUAUCGACCACAGUGAUGGAGUGAAGCUGUAGAGUGCCAUUAAAGUUUGCAAGAUUGUGGUAAGCUCAUGUGUCUUCUACAACAGCCGACAAGAUUAAAUCGCAUCCAGUGCAUAUUUGGUGACAGCAUUUGCUGUUACCUAAUUUGCAUAAUUCCUUUUGUAAAUCAGGCUCUAAAGUAACACAGACAGCACAUAAAAAUAAAUGACACUACAGUGAGCGCAAAUCAUUCUUAGUGAAUCCUCCCUGAGAGAGAGCAGCACCCUUCAGACUGGAUCCAUCUGUUGUAUGAGGAUUGUGUCUGCUCAAACUAGGGCGAAACACUGCGAGAGCUCUGCUAACAUAUUUCAGCUUUUUUGCGCAGCACCAUUCCGAUACAUGACCUCUUUGCAUGCAGCGUCUCUGUAAUCCUGCCUGUUUCUCUGUGUGUGAUUUUAUGAAAAGCCUUCCUGUUUGUUCUUUCAGGCCAGGUUGAGUAACAGGAUGCACAGAGGCUCUUGUGGAAACCCAUCUCUGCUUGUUCAUGUGGGGGAAAGCUUGUUUCUUUGUGGAGUCCAGAAAAAAUGGGUCCCUGAUACAGUAUGAACACAUCUGUGUAUGUCUGAAUACAGAGAAAAUGCAUAUAAAAUAUUACAUGACUGCACUAGCUUUGUUAUCUUAGACUUAUGGUUAGUUGGUGUGUCAAAUGUGCCAAAAUACCGUGGUGCUACUGUAUUUUUAGCCAAGUAGUAUGUAGGGGUGGACAGUAUGACCAAAAUAUUACAUCACAUUUUGAGGUAUAAUAUUAUAUAAAGGUUAAUUCUGCUUGGAUGAGUCAGAUUUAAAGCCGAUAUGUGCACACUUGUGUCCAAAUCUUAUUUGAAUUUUAUAUAAAUGCACCUAGUUGUGACAUUAUUCACCACUCGUACCUAACAACCAGCCCUUGAAAACAAGUUCUUCCUCACCUUGACUGGUUUGGAACAUGCCCUGCUCUUUACUUUUUGCUUUUAACUUUUUUCAUCGAUCUCUCUUGUAAAUAAUGUAAAGCAGUCUUCCCACUGAUACAGUGGCCACAACAUAUUAACUGCGGUAAAACGGUAUUGUAAAAUCUCCUUCAGUUAACACUUUCUUUAUAUAUUACUACAAUACAUUUAUCUUUAUAGGAGGCACACUGAUGGUUUCAACUAUGUUAAACAUUGUACAAACAAAAUAUACUUUAAAUAAUGUGUUUUUUUUGUUUUGUUUUUUUUUUGUCAUCAGGUGUACCUACCAAUGUGCAAAAUAAUCUUCUUUUCAAUGCAUUUUACAAAGCCCUGUUUUGCCCAUGUACCACAAUCCCAGAUGAAUCCUACAAAACAGACUAAAUGCUGCAGUCUG
rnacentral:lncRNA from 1 species